AAAAUGAAAAAUAUAUGAUUUUAAAUGUAUACUUUUCAGGGUUGGAGGAGAGGGGAAGAUAAUACAAGAUUCAGGAGAGGGGUUCCUCUGUCUGGAGGGCAGAGGAUUCGGCAUGGGGAAGGAUCUCCUGGGUAGAUACAAGUUACCUGGAAUAAUCUACGCCCGGAAUUGUGAGGUGGCACUACAGGUCCCAGCUGGAGUGUCCCCCCUUCCAUCGCCAGUGACUCCUCAACUUAUGAUUUGGGAAAGGUUGCUGCAUCCUGUCAUUCAAAGUUGCUGUAGUGGCCCCCAGAGUAAUCCCUUCCAACUUUCCCCAGGACACCAGGGUUCAAACACUCAUGCUAAAGCAAAGACAAAGCUAUAG
rnacentral:lncRNA from 1 species